UAAACAAUAUUUUACAGCUUCCAAUGCUUCUUUGAUGGGCUGGUUGGAUUGUCACGUGUGCUGUGUGGCGCUGGGGGACACAGGGUGGUUGUAUUGUCACCUGUGCUGUGUGGCACUGGGGGACACAGGGUGGUUGAUUGUCACCUGUGCUGUGUGGCGCUGGGGGACACAGGGUGGUUGUCACCUGUGCUGUGUGGCGAUGGGGGACACAGGGUGGUUGAUUGUCACCUGUGCUGUGUGGCGCUGGGGGACACAGGUGGGGGUUGGAUUGUCACCUGUGCUGUGUGGCACUGGGGGACACAGGGUGGUUGUAUUGUCACCUGUGCUGUGUGGCACUGGGGGACACAGGGUGGUUGAUUGUCACCUGUGCUGUGUGGCGCUGGGGGACACAGGGUGGUUGUCACCUGUGCUGUGUGGCGCUGGGGGACACAGGGUGGUUGAUUGUCACCUGUGCUGUGUGGCGCUGGGGGACACAGGUGGGGGUUGGAUUGUCACCUGUGCUGUGUGGCACUGGGGGACACAGGGUGGUUGAUUGUCACCUGUGCUGUGUGGCGCUGGGGGACUCCGGGUGGUUGAUUGUCACCUGUGCUGUGUGGCGCUGGGGGACACAGGUGGUUGUCACCUGUGCUGUGUGGCGCUGGGGGACACAGGUGGGGGUUUCUACGUUGUGUCUGUGUUUCGGCACUUUCUGUGACGGGCGUGCAGGAGAACAUUGCUGAAACGGGACACCUGUGUAAGUUCUGUGCUCUGCAAUCCCGGUGUUGCCCGUGACCUUCUGUCAGUCGACUCCCGACAGCUCCGCGCCGUGGCAGACUGGACUCACGCCUCCCUCCCCAGUGCCGGGGACGUGGCAGCAAGCGGAGCGUCCCACGUGGCGUUUGCUCAGCCUUCAGCAGCCGGCUGAAGAAGAUCCCGCUCGCCUGGCUUGUCUGUGCUCUGAGACACCCGGGACCAGGCUUCCCGUUCUACUGCCUGCUGUGAACAUUUAGCAGGCUGAGGGUUUGGGUUCUGUUUCUCUAUUUGCCUCCAUGAGUAACGCGAAAUCCUUGCAAAGGAGAGGGGGACGCUGACAACCCGAGAGGAACAGCAGCGAGAGCGUGGAAGGGACCCACAUCCCCAGACGCACCUGCCAACAAAGGGGAGGGCAUCGGGCUGCCCAGCCAGUGUGUCCGGGAGCGGGGCCUCUCCUGCCCACAAUGGCCUGGCCGUUAAAAUGCAAAUGGGGGCACGGGCUGCGAGUGCAUCCACCCCUGCAUCCCCGGGUCUAAAAGACACUCUUUCAGCCGCUUCUGUUCAGAUUGCAAAUGCUCUGCUUUUGUCCCGAGGCCUGGGAGGCAGUCCUGAAUACUUCCUCCCGACAAACUGGCUUUUCUCCGCCCCGGCCACAAAAGCCUGGAUGGGUUCUUAACGUGCAGAGCACAGAUUCUGUUCAGGGGGUUUCGCCAAGGUCAAGGUGACCAAGAACGGCUGGG
rnacentral:lncRNA from 1 species